rnacentral:lncRNA from 1 species
UCUGAAACAUGACGCACUUCAUACGUGCUUUUCAUAACAUAGAAAGGCUGCUUAAUUCCAUUACAAUAGCAAAUGCAAACAGGUAGUCCACUGUUUGCUUAUUGACACCAAAACACAGGAGCUAAGAGUGCAGCUUAUUCAAUUCAUCCGACUAGUUUUUCUUCGCGAACUGAGCCUGAAGCCAGUCGAUGGUCUUCUUGUCCACUUGGAAAGCCUUGGCGAGGAUUUCAUCCGAGAUGGGGGGAUUCGACCCGAACACAGCAUCGGCGAUGGUGAUGGUGCCAGGGUUUUGGCUGCUGAGAGCACCGAUGGCGAAGGUGUUGGUGUGCCCAGGGUUGAACUGGAAGUGGAUGAGGCCUUGGGGGAACACAAACACAUCACCCUUCUUCAGCAUCUUGGUGAAGAGACGGUUGCCGUCGUCGCUGUUGGAUGUGACGAAGCCGACCAAGAGCUGUCCCUCUAUGACGGUGAGGAUCUCGGUGGCACGGGGGUGAGUGUGGGGCGGGUUGAGGCCAUUGGGGAUGUAGUCGAUGCGAACCAUGGAGAUGCCGAGGGUGUUGAGCCCUGGAAUCUGGAUCACGUUGGCAGGCGUGACAUUGAACCCGAAAUUGUUCUUUCCUGUAUCGCCGGGCAUGUCGAGGCCAGAAAGAGAGAAGUCGUCGGCUUUCACAACCAUGGGGUCCUUGCAGACGAAUCCAUUCACCCGCACUGCAACAGCAGAAGGAAGAAGCAAACUCGGUCGGUAAACAUGCAUCAGGAGAACAAACGCACCGAAGGAAAUUAAUCUGGAUACUAUGAAUACCUUUAGACAUCAUAUCUGCGACACAGAAGUCUUGAAGUUGGCUAGGAUCGGAAGCCAUUGCAAGAGAGGAAGCCAUGGCGAGGAGAACAAGGAGAAACAUUUCGGCGGCCAUCUGUAAUCUCUUAGAUGGAUGGGAUUACCUGGUGCCGUGAUACAGUGGCCUGGAAGAGACGGGUAUAUAUAGAGAAGCAGGCUCUGAAACAUUCAUGAUCAUUAGGUGAAGGAGAUGAAAAGUAUACCAUGUUAGGUUGCUUUCUUCUUGCAAUAUAUUUUCUAUAGCCGUCACCUCGUACGAGAUCCAUAUGAUGCACAGUAACCAUUAAAUUUGUUGACGUGUCUCAGUAACCUAAUCCAUGACCAUUUUAUAUGUAUAUAUAUAAUGAUGGAGCUUUUAGUUAGAUCAUGCUGUAGUGUAAAAUGGACUCUUACGUUCGACUGCAUAAUCCACCACGUGAGAUUUUUGUGACGACCUUACGCUACCAAACAAGAGGAGAAGUCAGCAAAGAUGUGGCAGCUGAACAGAACAAGCUAAGGACAGGUAGAAAGAACAAGAAGCCAAAGAUGUGAUUACCAAUUUGACCUUGUCGGGUCUUGUGUACUGCUACGGCUGAUACCGUGUAUUAUAAUUAAGGUGUUCUACGUCAUCUCCGACUAUUUUCAUCACACUGAGACGUCGCGUGCAUGUUGCAAAGAAGUAUGUAAAUACGUAAGUUCUUAAGAGAUUAUAAGUUGAUAUAAUGCUGUCCAAGAAUAGUAAGCAUGUUGAUAGUUGCCUCUACGUUAAACGCUUAUGGGAUCCUAAGUUAUUAAGAGAUCAUAAGAGAUUUUAAAAAUACUAAAUCUUCGUAUAUAGGUAUACAAGAAUAUUGUACGAUUUAGAUAAAAUCAAUUAUAUUCGUGAUAAAAAUCAAUGAGGUUAGGUGAGAUAAAAUAUUUUUUUUAAUUAAAUAUCUAAAGUAAAAUUAACAUAUCAACAUUACAUUGUUCACAUAAAAUUUAUAAUCAUAUUAUCUAUAAUACGAAAAAAAAAUUAUGUCAAAAUUUAAAAUCAAAUAAUAAUGGAUCUAAAUAAUAUUACGAUGCAUACCUUUCGUUGUUAUUUAGAAGAAUAAAUAUUAUCUGAUCUACAGGCGUAUCAUCGUCGGAUCUAAAUGAAAUACUUCUAUUUAGCCCUUAAGAUCAUAUCUAUUUAUAAACAAAAACAAAGAGUCUAAGAUAAGAUAUUAGAAGAAUUCCUCCCAUAAGGAUAUCCUUGGAAUCCUACUAUAAUAUGAAUUUUUUUUUUAUUAAUCAAUAAUCAUAAUCAGAAUUCAAUCAUAUCUAUAAUAUAUUUUACCUAAUUAAAUAUGACCACACAAUCUAACACUCAAUCAUAAAUCCACGAAUCAUAAAUCCAUAAAAAACCAGAAUUUUUGAACUCAUUUCAACCGAGUUCCCAAAAAGUUUAUUAAGUAAAUAAGAUAUUAUUAUGAAUACAAAACAUUUUAAAGUUUUAUAGAUGAUAAUUCUUUUCUAGAAGGUUCUGCCAGCGAGGAUGAAUAAAAAAAAAAGAAAAAUAUCGAUAUAAUAUUUGUAAUUUAUAUAAAUAUAAACAUUUUUCGUCCAUCCAACUCAGCGACCUCUCUGGCAAUCAGAAAGAUUUCAAUAACGAUCAAACAAAGGCUAAUCGAUUAUUUCAGUCAUCAGAUUUUGGUGGCAACGACAUGUUACCAAACACCAUAAAGAAGCUCUCAAAGUCCGACCACGAGACAAGACAAAGUUGCCAGUACGAAUCCGUCUCCGUUCUUCGACCUCGUUCCAUACUGUAUAUUACGAUCGAAGUGAACUGUGUCAUCUUCAACUAUUUCACCAUCACACUGUUUAUAUAUUAUUAUGGUCUAUUUGUGAUCACAACAUAAGAGUUCAAAUUCAUAAUUAUAUUUCAUUUUAGUAAAUGAAUAAAUUGGAGUGAUUGAUACCGCCGGUUAUAGGUGGAUGCAAUCGAGCCAUAUACUACUACUGAACUUUGUAGAUCCCAUGUCAUACAAGUCAAGACAAAAGCACUCCUUUCGGGAAUUCUUGGUGAUGACUUGUUGAAGUUAUGAUCGUGUAUACAAUAUCUCAUGUUUCAGUCAUAAUAUUUGCAUAAAUUGACUUAUUACCGGUAUAUUUUAGUAAAGUUGUCUGCAUAGAUAUAUAAAGUUCAUGAACCUGAGGGAGGAUAAACAUAAGGUGGAUAAAGAAGUAUGCAUAUAUAUAUAUAAUAUGAGAUAUUACACUUUUUGAGGAUGCUGCACUCCAUAUAAUCUAUAAUCUUCCAGGUGGGAAAUACUAUCAUAUGAUCUAAAUAUUGAAAUAUGACUCAUGGAUUUCUUUCUUAAAAAUCAAGUUUUAUUUAUUAUAUUUAAUGACGUGUUUAUAUGAAAUUUGCAACAGUACACCAAUCGUAUGUCAAUAGAGAUGACUCGAGAAUUCUGAAACAUGACACACUUCAUACGUACUUUUCAUAACAUAGAAAGGUCUCUUAAUUCCAUUACAAUAGCAAACGCAAACAGGUAGUCCACUGUUUGCUUAUUCACACCAAAACACACGAGCUAAGAGUGCAGCUUAAUUCAUUCCUCCGACUAGUUUUUCUUCGCGAACUGAGCCUGAAGCCAGUCGACAAGCUUCUUGUCCACUUGGAAAGCCUUGGCGAGGAUUUCAUCCGAGAUGGGGGGAUUCGCCCCGAACACAGCAUCGGCGAUUGUGAUGGUGCCGGGGUUUUGGCUACUGAGAGCACCGAUGGCGAAGGUGUUGGUGUACCCAGGGUUGAACUGGAAGUGGAUGAGGCCUUGAGGGAACACAAACACAUCACCCUUCUUCAGCAUCUUGGUGAAGAGGCGGUUGUCGGUGUUGGAUGUGACGAAGCCGACUAAGAG